UACCAGCACCCCGAGUGGUCGGGACGAUUAUUGGGCCUAAAGCAUCCGUAGCCGGUUUUACAAGUCCUCCGUUAAAUCCARCUGCUUAACAGAUGGGCYGCGGAGGAUACUAUAAGACUAGGAGGCAGGAGAGGCAAGCGGUACUCAGUGGGUAGGGGUAAAAUCCGUUGAUCCAUUGAAGACCACCAGUGGCGAAGGCGGCUUGCCAGAAUGCGCUCGACGGUGAGGGAUGAAAGCUGGGGGAGCAAACCGGAUUAGAUACCCGGGUAGUCCCAGCUGUAAACGAUGCAGACUCGGUGAUGGACUAGCUUYAUGCUAGUCCAGUGCCGCAGGGAAGCCGUUAAGUCUGCCGCCUGGGUAGUACGGUCGCAAGACUGAAACUUAA
rnacentral:rRNA from 1 species